AUGCCACACCCUAUCCCAGCCGCAGCCGCCGCCGCCGUCGCCGCCGCCGCCGCUGCAACCGCCGCCUUCGAUUCCGUGAAAUUGGAGGGGAAGACAAUUGGAUCUGUCUGCCGCAGGUAUUUCUCUUGCCCGUUGAACGUUGGAGGAGUGGGGAGAAAUAGAAUGAAGGCGCGACAGUUCCUGAAUGUUGUGAUGGAGAGGUAUGGCACUGGCGGUGCCGGUGGCAGCUUGUAUACGGUCAGUCGCAUCAACGCCAAGGAACACCUCUUCUACCGAUCCACGGCCGAAGCACAGGCAGCAGAAAAAUCAAGGUUCGAUAUGGAGUGCAUCUGGCGAAUGCCUACGUCCAGGCUCAGGUUCGAAGCAUACCGCUCGGAUGACAAGAGGCUCAAUUUCCUGCCCUUCUAUGGACGACGCAGCGGCGGCGAUAGCAAGAUGCUCUGCAUGGACGCCGCUGGCCACACCGUGCUCUGUGAUGCCGCUGGCCUCUCUGUCAUGCCGGCUCCCUGCCUUAACGAACCCAAGGUUGACAGCCCUGUUUCUUUCUCCAUCACCCGCACCAACGUGGAAACCCCCAAUCGCGCCGAUGCUCUCUACGUCCUCGACAGAUUUGUCACGAGCCGCAACUCCUUCAACUUCGAGGCACUCAUGUUUGGCGAGAAGACCUGGGACUGGGUUCGGCUUCCACCGCCGCCCUAUGUCAACAACCCGGCCUACAACUCCACAUCCAUCCAGUCCUACACGCUCCUGGCUGAUGGCUCCACCAUUUGCAUCUCCUCCCCUCGGCACAGCCUCGUCGGCACCUACUGCUUCGACACGAUUAGCUGUAAGUGGAGCAAGGCUGGCCGCUGGGCGCUUCCCUUGUACGGCCGGGCUGAGCAUGUACCUGAGCUGGGCAACCUCUGGUUCGGCAUGGCCGACAACAGCCCCCACAAUUUUUCCGCAUUGGACCUCUCCAACCUAGACGGGGCUCCAAAGUUGCUUCAAGACUGGCAAGACCUUGACCCGCCUGAGGAUUGGGUGCAGAUGAGGUGCAGCCUGCUGUACCUGGGCGCGGGCAAGUUUUGCAUAACCAAAUUCUUCAACAUCGGGGACCCAGACACAGAGGACAACACAACCGCUGCUGUGCUCACCGGAGUGGAGGUGCUGUGUGGAGUUUCUGGUGGGGAGGUGGUGCACGGAGGAUCGUCCGAACUCCAGAUGAUCAAGCACAAGUCUUUUAUCAGCUAUGGCGGCAUCCAGUGCGUCCUCUGA
rnacentral:rRNA from 1 species